rnacentral:rRNA from 1 species
CCCUUAGACGUUCUGGGCCGCACGCGCGCUACACUGACACAGGCAACGAGCUUUCCUUUACCGAAAGGUAUGGGUAAUCUUUUGAAACUGUGUCGUGCUGGGGAUAGAUCCUUGCAAUUUUUGAUCUUAAACGAGGAAUUCCUAGUAAGCGCGAGUCAUCAACUCGCGUUGAUUACGUCCCUGCCCUUUGUACACACCGCCCGUCGCUACUACCGAUUGAAUGGCUUAGUGAGGCCUCAGGAUCCGCGCUUAAUGUGUGGAGAAUUUGGACAAACUACGUCAUUUAGAGGAAGGAGAAGUCGUAACA